rnacentral:tRNA from 2 species
GCAGAUAUGGCCGAGUGGUUAAAGCGACUGACUCGAAAUCAGUUUCCAUCUUGGAGCGUAGGUUCGAAUCCUACUAUCUGCG